rnacentral:piRNA from 1 species
UGGAACUUGGAUUACCCACUACAAGACUGAG